AGGCUGUGGAGCUAACUAGUAAACAUCUGCUAGCUAACAGCUGGGUGUCUGCGGGCUCAAACACGCUUUAUCCCGCUGAGAAACCCAGCAAACCACCUGUCAAAACAAAAAGCAGUGUUUAAAGAAACACAACAGAUCCAGUAUUUUGGAGAGAAUCUUCAGAUGAGCAGCAGUUGACUGUCAGCGUAGAUCAGCUCCCCCCCAGGAUUACGAUGAGGCCGGCCUCAUUCCAAGCAGCGCGAUUCAACAGCGGAAGAGUGAUGUCGCCCCCCCCCUGCCGCUGGGACUCAACUAGGCGGAUCAGGGACGACCGCUCGGUGUAGGAGGAUCCCCUCGCGGGACCUCUCCCCAGCACUGGCUGGCCCUCACCGGGUGCAUUUCCUCCGUGGCGGUGCGCAGCGACAGGUGUUACACCGAAAUCUGUGACCGCAGAGAGCCAGCAACACGAGGUCACCAUUUCUGACGGCUGUCGUCAGAAAAUGUGACCACCCACUGUACCUGUAUAAUAAACAAGGCAAGUACGUGACAGAAAACACACAAAAUGAAAUUGUUAAAAAAUAUAAAUGUAUUUUAAUAUUAAUGUAAUUGAAAGAUAUAUUCACAAAACUCUAAAAGAAAAGUAAACUAAAAGUACAGUGGGGUCACAUUUUCUGACGACAGCUGUUAGAAAUGGUGACCUUAUGCGUCGCUGGCUCUCUGCGGUCACAGAUUUCGGUGUAACGCCGGCUUUAGGUCAGCCUUUAAAGGCCCGGGAUGAAGGUGGCUCAUACAGCCCCCCUUGCCUGGACCUCGCUGCUUCCCGGGCCGUGGACUUGGUGCUCGCUGCACCCUCUCUCCCUACGGGGAGGCACGGGGCCCCUGUCAAGGUGCGACUGGGGUGGACUGUCCUCAAUGCGCCGAUGCUCUCAAAGCGCACAAGUUUGAUGCAUAUUAAAAUGUACAAAAUGUUCUGCUCGGGGAGCAGGUGCCCGGACCCACCUGAAAACUCCUGUAUUUUUUCAAAUCACAAUAUACAUCAUAGAAAAAAAAAUAUUGCAAUGUCAGUUUUUUUUCCAAUAUCAUGCAGCUUUACACACCAUAGGGGUGCUAUCAUCCAUCCAUCCAUCCAUCUAUCCUCUA